UACGUAGGGUGCGAGCGUUAAUCGGAAUUACUGGGCGUAAAGCGUGCGUAGGCGGUUCGUUAAGUUCGUUGUGAAAGCCCCGGGCUCAACCUGGGAAUGGCAAUGGAAACUGGCGGGCUGGAGUAUGGCAGAGGGGGGUGGAACUCCGCGUGUAGCAGUGAAAUGCGUAGAGAUGCGGAGGAACACCGAUGGCGAAGGCAGCCCCCUGGGCCAAUACUGACGCUCAUGCACGAAAGCGUGGGGAGCAAACAGG
rnacentral:rRNA from 1 species